rnacentral:rRNA from 1 species
UACGUAGGGUGCAAGCGUUAAUCGGAAUUACUGGGCGUAAAGCGUGCGCAGGCGGUUUUGUAAGUCUGUCGUGAAAGCCCCGGGCUCAACCUGGGAAUUGCGAUGGAGACUGCAAGGCUUGAAUCUGGCAGAGGGGGGUAGAAUUCCACGUGUAGCAGUGAAAUGCGUAGAUAUGUGGAGGAAUACCGGUGGCGAAGGCGGCCUCCUGGCUUAAUACUGACGCUGAGGUGCGAAAGCGUGGGGAGCAAACAGG